AAAGAUUUCCCAGGUGAAUGCCAGAAAUAUUUCGCAAGUGUUUAUUCACCUCUGUAGGUUAGAGGAAGGCUUAAAGGGCCAGGGUGAGGGAGAGAGAGGUGGCUCCAGAAAUCACAGCAGGACAGUUGGAGAUGGGGAUCAGACCUCUGGACUCCAGGCUCAUCACUGCCCUAACUCCACCCUCAGAGCUACCUCUCCCAGUACAGAAAACCAGGAGGCCACAAGAAAACUUGGAACGACCAAUUCCUCCAUUUCCCCCCCAAGGAGCUGAAGGAGGAAGCUUUUGGUAAAAAGGAUGUCACGGUUGAUAAGAGUCUCAGGGGUUCCUGGAAAUACAGUGGAGAAUACAGGGAUAAAAGGGAACUGAACCCAUGGGCGCUUUGCUACUGAGAUACUACAUCCCCAGCCUUUUUAAACUUUUGGGACAGUGUCUUCCUAAGUUGCUGAGGCUGGCUUCACACUUGUCUCAGUCUUAGCCUUCCAAAUUGCUGGGAUUACAAGCAUAUGCCAGCUAUGACAGACUUAUUUGAUUCCUCCUGCUUUUAGAAACUCACAUAAAUAGUUGCUGAGGCUGGUCUUGAAUUUGCAAUCCUCCUGCCGUGGCCUCCCAAAUCUAUGGGAUUUCAGACAUGUGCUACCAUGCCUGGCAUAGAAGAGUUUUAACUCCUAAUUCAGUAGUUCAAUAUCUUGGAUGGUUUUAGGACUACUUAGGUUUUAAAAUUUCCCUUUGGGUAAGUUUUGGUAAGUUAUGCCUUAUGAAUAAUUGAUGUUAUCUAAGUUUUAAAAUUUAUUAUUCUAAAAUUGUUCAUAAUAUUUCCUAUUAUGACUUUAAUUUUAAUAGCAACUACAGUUAGGUCCCUAUUUUCUUUUUAAGAUUGCUCAAUUGUACGUUUUCUUGUUACUUGAAUAGUUUUGCCAGAAUUUUGACUAU